UUGAGUUGUCAUUGACUCCUACGGGACACACGACUUUUUUUGUUUGUUUGUUUGUUUUCAAGAGCAAUUUACUACAUUAUAGGAUUCGUUUUUUUCUUAAAGUACUUAACUUGGUUAAAAAUUAACUUUCAGUUGUUUUUAAUUUCUGUGUUAGAAGUUUCUGUCCCUUAGCCAAAUGAUAGUUCAUUUUUUAGGAAGGUGAAUAUUGGACAGUCAAACUUUUCUCUGAGGGCUGUUGCUUCCCCUGUCUGACUUUAUGUGCCACCUUGCAAUGCAUGGCCAGUAAGGCAAACUGCUUUUGUAGAAGAUAUUUAAAGUAGUUGAUGAAGAGCAAAAGUACUAGCUGCCUUUAAAAUUUAAGUUUUAACACAAUCUUCCCACCUCAGCUGAUAUUUUUAAUUUAUAAAGGACUAUAUAGGACAGAAUCCAAGCCAUGUUUUUGGGUGAAUGAUACAUCUAUGUGCAUGUUUGUCUGUGACCACUUGUCUAACAUGAUGAGGAUCUUCAUGAAUAGAUAUAAAUGACACAUGCCUUCUCUUUCCAGGAAUCAGUAGCAGAGGAUGUGCCUGGCAUUAUUACCAGGAGAUUAGCAAAUCCAGCUCUGACAGAAUGGGAAAGAGGUUCCCAAUCUGAACACUCAGAUUGGAUUGCGUUGCAGUUGUAAAAUUAACAUCAGCAGGGCUCAUCCAAGAAAAGAGCAGGGCUGCUGGUCGGAAUGAGUCCAAAUUAACUAUGACAGAAGAACUCUUCCCUCUUUCAGUGGAAGAAAAGUUUGAAAACCAGCACAUGAGAUAUCCUGAGUAGAUGUAUCAUUUGCUUCCUGUAAACCUGGCAGCCAGAGAGCUCUUCCUCAUCCCAGUGGUGCCAGGCACUGGAAAGUGGUCACUCAGUGUUGGUCCUCAGUGGUGGAUGCCAAUGAAAGUAAGAAAAAAUGUGUCAGUCAGAGUUGGAGUUAGAGGUCAUGCAACUGGGUGAAGAAAUGAAGACAAGUGACCUCUUGGUGAAUUUCAAUAAAAGGUUAGAGAUCACUUAGCUUGUUUUUUCUACAUUGUUGUAACUUUUCCAUGUCAAGAUCACUUUUAAAUGAAGAAAUGGUGUUUUUUGCCUCUGU
rnacentral:lncRNA from 1 species